rnacentral:rRNA from 1 species
GAACCCCUACGGGAGGCAGCAGUGAGGAAUAUUGGUCAAUGGGCGGGAGCCUGAACCAGCCAAGUCGCGUGAAGGAAGAAGGUACUUAGUAUUGUAAACUUCUUUUGUCGGGGAACAAAGGCGGGGACGCGUCUCCGGAUGAGUGUACCCGAAGAAAAAGCAUCGGCUAACUCCGUGCCAGCAGCCGCGGUAAUACGGAGGAUGCGAGCGUUAUCCGGAUUUAUUGGGUUUAAAGGGUGUGCAGGCGGGAGGUC